GGGCCCGCACAAGCGGUGGAGCAUGUGGUUUAAUUCGAUGCAACGCGAAGAACCUUACCAGGGCUUGACAUACUACGAAUUCUUUUGAAAAAGAGAAGUGCCUUCGGGAAUGUAGAUACAGGUGGUGCAUGGCUGUCGUCAGCUCGUGUCGUGAGAUGUUGGGUUAAGUCCCGCAACGAGCGCAACCCUUAUUUUUAGUUACCAACUCGUUGGGUUCUCUAGAAAGACUGCCGGUGACAAACCGGAGGAAGGUGAGGAUGACGUCAAGUCAGCAUGCCCCUUAUGUCCUGGGCUACACACGUGCUACAAUGGUUAAGACAAAGAGUCGCGAGCUUGUAAAAGUCAGCUAAUCUCAUAAACUUAGCCUAAGUUCAGAUUGUAGGCUGCAACUCGCCUGCAUG
rnacentral:rRNA from 1 species